AACGAACGCUGGCGGCAUGCCUAACACAUGCAAGUCGAACGAGACCUUCGGGUCUAGUGGCGCACGGGUGCGUAACGCGUGGGAAUCUGCCCUUGGGUGCGGAAUAACUUCCCGAAAGGGAUGCUAAUACUGCAUAAUGUCGCAAGACCAAAGAUUUAUCGCCCAAGGAUGAGCCCGCGUAGGAUUAGCUAGUUGGUGGGGUAAAAGCCUACCAAGGCGACGAUCCUUAGCUGGUCUGAGAGGAUGAUCAGCCACACUGGGACUGAGACACGGCCCAGACUCCUACGGGAGGCAGCAGUGGGGAAUAUUGGACAAUGGGCGAAAGCCUGAUCCAGCAAUGCCGCGUGAGUGAUGAAGGCCUUAGGGUUGUAAAGCUCUUUUACCCGGGAUGAUAAUGACAGUACCGGGAGAAUAAGCUCCGGCUAACUCCGUGCCAGCAGCCGCGGUAAUACGGAGGGAGCUAGCGUUGUUCGGAAUUACUGGGCGUAAAGCGCGCGUAGGCGGUUUUUUAAGUCAGAGGUGAAAGCCCGGGGCUCAACCCCGGAAUUGCCUUUGAAACUGGAAAACUUGAAUCUUGGAGAGGUCAGUGGAAUUCCGAGUGUAGAGGUGAAAUUCGUAGAUAUUCGGAAGAACACCAGUGGCGAAGGCGACUGACUGGACAAGUAUUGACGCUGAGGUGCGAAAGCGUGGGGAGCAAACAGG
rnacentral:rRNA from 1 species